AGGCUCUCCGAGAGGGGUGGAGAAGGUUAGCACUCUCCUUGACAAGGAUGGAAGAGGCUUCGGCCUGCAACACGCAUACGGUUAAGGCAGUGUUUAGAUAGGCAAGGCUAAACAUUAUU